GCAAAGGUAACAUAAUGUCAUCUGCUUUGAAAAAGAAUGCGGAGAGGAAAAGGAGCCAAAACGACAAAGGCAGUGCUUAUUCAUCUGUGUGCAUGUUCGAGGGAGAGGGAGAGAAAGUCUUUUCAUGUUCAAGACUGAUGCCUAGCAGUGGUUCAACACAUUCAGACCACUACAUACGCCCACCUUCAGCACCCAACUCCUCAACCGACCAUAGAGCUAACUCUUCACAACCCACCCAAAAGGCAUGGCUCCAUUAGGAGUGUGGGACCAAAGCCAGGUAACUCAUCCAGGAUAUCCCAGGCAAGUGGUGUCCCUCAACUUUUUUGGACCAGGUUUCCCUGCUGUUUGAGAUCUUUUUCAAAAAGGCUAUGUUAAGGAAUGGCAUUUUACAGAACAUUCCUGAGGCAAGUCUGAUGCCUCAAUAAAUCUGCCCCAGUCUCACUCUCUCUCUCCCUUAGCUUGUCUCAGUGGAAUGUCAGCUGGCAAGUGCCCAGACAUUGAGACUUAGCCUUUCAGAACGUCCCAGUCUCACCCAAGCUUCAGAAGUGGGCAAGCACAGAAGCAGCAGUCCCCUUAUCAAAGCGCUUGUCCAGCAGGGCUCACGGCUCACUGAACCACUGAUCACCAAAUCCUCUGACCUGCCGUUAACCCGCCGGACUCAGAGCGACAGUGACAGAAGAGGCUGUCAUGGUGAAGACCUACAGAGAGACUACCGAGACCUACGGAGAUGAUAUGAUGUUAGAAUGCAUCGUGUAUCAUCAUUUACAUGAGGUUAGAUUUGAACAUGAUGUCCCUACAAUACCCCAUGCCACAAUGACAUAUGAAAAUUAGUUUUGAUAACACUGGAAAUCACAAGGUUUUUGGAAUAGUUCACCUAAUAUUCUGUCAGUAUUUAGUUUACACCCUUGUGUCAUAUCAAACCCGUUCUUGUUCCUGUUGUUUCUUUUUUUUUUUUUUGUGACAAACUGCUCUAUCAAAAAUAGAGAAAAUACAGUAAAUAUUUUC